AUUGAACGCUAGCGGUAUGCUUUACCCAUUCCAGUCGAACGAGUGGCGGACUGGUGAGUAAUCUCUCGGAACGUGCCCAGUAGCGGGGUCUAACUACUCGAAAGAGUGGCUAAUACCGCCUACUCUCGGAGCGGCCGAUAUCGGAUUAGCUAGUUGGUGGGGUAAAGGCUCACCAAGGCCACGAUCCGUAGCUGGUUUGAGAGGACGACCAGCAACACUGGGACUGAGACACGGCCCAGACGCCUACGGGAGGCAGCAGUGGGGAAUUUUGGACAAUGGGGGAAACCCUGAGCCAGCCAUCCCGCGUGUAUGAGAAGGCCUUCGGGUUGUAAAGUACUUUUGGCAGGGAAGCGGUAUCUGCAGAAGAAGCACCGGCUAACUACGUGCCAGCAGCCGCGGUAAUAC
rnacentral:rRNA from 1 species